rfam:Chryseobacterium gleum ATCC 35910 genomic scaffold SCAFFOLD3, whole genome shotgun sequence.
AAGGCAGCACCCGAAAAGCCGGAACAGAGUAGGGA